AUACGUAGGUGACAAGCGUUAUCCGGAUUUACUGGGCGUAAAGGGCGUGUAGGCGGUCUUGCAAGUCAGAAGUGAAAUUCCUGAGCUCAACUCGGGCGCUGCUUCUGAAACUGCAGGACUUGAGUGCUGGAGGGGAUAGCGGAAUUCCUAGUGGAGCGGUAAAAUGCGCAGAUAUUAGGAGGAACACCAGUGGCGAAGGCGUCUUUCUGGACAGUAAGUGACGCGGAGGUACGAAAGCGGGGGGAGCAAACAGGAUUAGAUACCCUGGUAGUCCACGCCGUAAACGAUGAGCACUAGUUGUUGGGUCCGAAUGGAUUCAGUGACGCAGUUAACGCAAUAAGUGCUCCGCCUGGGGAGUACGGUGGCAACACUAAAACUCAAAUGAAUUGACGGGG
rnacentral:rRNA from 1 species